rnacentral:rRNA from 1 species
GAGUUUGAUCAUGGUUCAGGACGAACGCUGGCGGCGUGCCUAAUACAUGCAAGUCGAACGGUCUUUUCUAUGGAAGCUUGCUUCCACUGAGAAGAUAGUGGCGAACGGGUGAGUAACACGUGGGUAACCUGCCCAUAAGAGGGGGAUAACAUCCGGAAACGGGUGCUAAUACCGCAUAGUUUUCUUGAUCGCAUGAUCGGGAAAGGAAAGACGGCCUUUGUGCUGUCGCUUAUGGAUGGACCCGCGGCGUAUUAGUUAGUUGGUGAGGUAACGGCUCACCAAGACGAUGAUACGUAGCCGACCUGAGAGGGUGAUCGGCCACAUUGGGACUGAGACACGGCCAAACUCCUACGGGAGGCAGCAGUAGGGAAUCUUCCGCAAUGGACGAAAGUCUGACGGAGCAACGCCGCGUGAGUGAAGAAGGUUUUCGGAUCGUAAAACUCUGUUGUCAGAGAAGAACAAGUUGGAGAGUAACUGCUCCAGCCUUGACGGUAUCUGACCAGAAAGCCACGGCUAACUACGUGCCAGCAGCCCGCGGUAAUACGUAGUGGCAAGCGUUGUCCCGGAUUUAUUGGGCGUAAAGCGAGCGCAGGCGGU